ACAGUGGAAGCGCUUGGGGUGGCUCAAAUGGCGGUGCCUCUCCCCACCGACAGUGAUUCAUAUUAAUAUUCAAUAUUUAUUUAAUAUAAAUAAUUUAAUUCACAGGCAUUUUUUUGUCUUUUUGAAUUCCCUCAAAUUCCAUUGCAGGUUUUAUUCUAAGGUGCAACCCAAUAAAAUCUUUUGAUCAAAGUUUCAAAUCUAAUCCUUCCAAUUUCCAAUUCUUUAUCUAUUCUAAUCCUCUUCAAUUUCUAUCUCACUAAAGGCCAUGUCAAUUCUUUAAGGAUGUGUUUAAAGAAAAAUAUAUUAAAAAGUUGAAAAAGAAAAAGAGAGAGAAAGAACUGCGUUUCUGAGUGGCGAGGGAAGAUCGGCGAUGGAGUAAUCUCUCCGGCCACCGCCCAAGGACGACCUCGUCGGAGGCAUCGUGGCGGACGAGGCCGCCAUAGGGGACGGUGCCCCCAGAGUCGAUCUACCCCCUUCCCUCUCUUUCUUUGAUUUAGUUCGAACCCAGGGGACAUUGUCGGAGCUCCUCUGGGGGGCAGUGGCCGGCGAGGUUGCCCCCAUUGCCGAUUUCCCCCUCGCUCUCUCUUCGAACCCCCGACUUUAUGCAAACAAAAAGAGAGAGAGAGAGAGAGAGAGAAACAAAGGGGGACGGUGAGGGCUGCCAAGGCGAGACGCAGUUCAACAGUGAGGUCGAGCCACAGAGUGGAGCAACUUGAGAAGAGCGAGGAGCUGAAUCUCAAAGCUGUCCCCUGUGAUGCUCUAGAGCGAGAGAUAAGGGGUAGCAAAUGUCUCAUUUAAGGGGCAGUGCAAUUGCAUUUCAAGUAAGUCUAACUGGAGGGGAGCUCAAGAUCGAUGAUGAUGGGUUGGUGCAACUGAUUGUUGGUGGCAUCUCUCUACUGUUGUGCUUCUCGAGAGCUUAUCAUCUUCAUUUUGCAGCUCUCUGUUAUGUUUUGUUGUUCGUGCAUUUUCGUGGCUGAUUUUAGGUUGUUCUAGGAUAAUGUUUCGGGCUUCACGUAAUCAGUAUUUUUAUGGGUUGGAAGGUUGAUAUUGCAGAGCUGGAAUGGGGUUCAUUCAAGUUCAAAAAUAUGGUUAAAAGACCAGGAUUAGCUUUUGGUCGUUGCUCUAUUAGUUUUUGGGUGAUUCUCCAUGAGUUUGAUGGGUUCAUGAUGUCUGGUCCCCAUUAGAUACAACUUUGGGGCUACUAAGAGUUAAUUUAGUGGCUAAACAUGUGUGAAGAAAGGGAAGAGGGGGUGGAGCUCAGUUUGUACUCAUGAAGCUCGAUGCAUUGCAGAUAUGCAAUGGUCGUCCUCAAUUUGCUCGAUGGUAAUCCAGACGCUAAUUUGAUUGUCCAUAUUGUUUCAUUUACAUUCUUGUGUUCCCCUAGGUAGCAAUGAAGGCAUCAUUUGCUUUCAUUUCAGAUUGAUUUAUGUUCAUGUUGUGGUGAUAAAUAUAAAUUCAUUUAUGUAUUUGAAGAUUGACUGCUUGCUUAAGGUCUGAAUGUGAUCAGUAGAUUGGACUUCAAAAAUCUGCUCUGCUAUAACGGUUUGUUUUGCAGUAAGUUAGCUGGCGUGUUCCCCGUCCCUCUUCUCCAACAAUCUAAUUUUUUUUUUAAAUAUUAAAAAAAAAGAACUAAGUAAGCAAGAUGGUGAGGCCCCCCUAGUGAGAUGAAGUUCAACGAUGAGAUUGUGCAUCUUCCCUCAUCGAGAUCAUUUUGAUCCACUCUAUCACCAAUGAACUUGAGAACAACCUCAGUGAAAGAGAAAGGGAGGGCAGAUCAGACAAUGGGGUCCCUCGCCAGUGUUGCCCACCCCUAGAUGAGGUCGUCGUAGCCUUGGGGAGCCACCACUGGCGACCUCCGAUGUUAUGGAGAGGAGGGGCAGUUGCUGGCUAGGAGCCGCCCAUAGGGUGACAUCCAUCCUCCUCUUUUGUUCCUUUUUUUAAUUAAUUUUUUAUUUUAAUAUUUACGGUUAGAAUUAUAUUUUUUAUAAUUUAAAUCAUAAAGAAAAUAAUUGAAAGAAAAGAAAUGACUCAUACAAAAAAAAUUGAAAGAAAAGAAAUGUAAGAGAGAGAAUAAAAAGAGAAGAAAAUAGUAUAAAGAAAUGAAAGAGAGAGAAAGAAUGAAUAAAGAAGGUAAGAAAUAAUAAAAUAAUGAUAAUCAACGUUUUCCUUCCAAUUUUUACGGCACACGGAGGGGCUCAUUUGAUGUAUAUUCAGGCAGUCAAAGGGUAAAGUUGAUGUAAAAAAUGAGUUGAGAAACCACUUGAUAUAACAUCCAUAUAUGGAGGACCAAUUUGUUAAUUUACUCUAAAUUCAAAAAAGAGAAAUCCCUUUUUUCUUUUUAA